rnacentral:lncRNA from 1 species
UUCUCUUGGGGUGUGCGCAAAAAUCAGGUUUCUAAGGUUUUGGUCCUCAGGGUUUGGGAAGAGAAAAAAAUAAGAAAAAAAUUAUUUUUCUCUCCAUUUUUCUUUUACCUCUUCAUCUCAUUUAGAAAGUCCAUCUUUAUUCCCUAAAAAAAUUUUAGAGAUUUGAAGAAAGGAUCCAAAUUAACCAAGAAGAAGGUCUUCAUGCGAGCUAGCACUAUCGAGA